rnacentral:rRNA from 1 species
GAUGAACGCUGGCGGCGUGCCUAACACAUGCAAGUCGAGCGGACAGAUGCGGAGCUUGCUCCUCUGACGUUAGCGGCGGGCGUGAGAGUAACGCGUGGAUAACCUACUUAUAUUUCGGGGAAAAUUUCGGGAAAGGGGAUCAAACCCGGUAGAAUAUAUUGAUCCGCAUGGUUCAAUGGAGAAUGACGGCUUUGGUGUAAGUAAUAGAGGGAUCCGCGCUGGAUUAGCUGGUUGGUAAGCUAACGGCUUUCCAAGGCAACGAUGCGUAGCCGAGCUGAGAGGGUGAUCGGCCACCCUGGAACUGAGACACGGUCAAGACUCCUAAGGGAGGCAGCAGUAGGGAAUGUUCGGCAAUGGGCGGGAGCCUGACGCAGCAACGCCGCGUGUGUGAUGAAGAUCUUCGGAUCGUAAAACUCUCUUAUUGGGUAAAAACAGAUGUGUAAGUAACUAUAGACGUCUUGACGGUACCUAGUCAAAAAGCACCGGCUAACUACGUG